rnacentral:antisense_RNA from 1 species
GUUCUGUGGGCUUCUCCUGAGGAGAUGGAGGAUUUUCAGAGCUUGCGGAAAGAAUUUGAGACCACCUUCAACCAGAGAAGCCUCUGUGGAAAUGUGCCGUCACUGGCCAGUUGUUCUAUCUGUCUGCUGUGGAACCCAGGCCCGUGAGAAGAGCAGGGGAGGUAUAGUCAUUUCCCUUGUUUUACGGCAGAGGAAACUGAAGAUAAAGCUAUGAAGUGAAGCUGGCUAGUGGCUGCCUCAGGGUUACUACUGAUAUCACUGGACCCCUUCAGAACCAAGUAUGAAUGAAGCAAUCCUUUUUCCCACCUGCAAGUGAGGCUCUGAGGGAUUCUUCAGAAAUCAAGACUUUGACCCACUCCAUAUUAUUAACGCCUCAGCCUACAAAGAGCUUGCCUAACCCAACAUCAAGGGGUGGACACAUGAUGCUGGACUUCCAGAAAAAUGGGUGUUUGAAGAACUUACUCCCUUGAUUCGGCAGUCAAGGAGAUGCACAGUAGAGGAUCAAAAAGCUGACAACCUGGCCUCCCCUGGUUCGCUUCCAGGGGAGGGCGGCUUCACCGCUCAAACCAGCUGGCCAAGUUCCGUAUGCUCUUGGGCCGGUCCCCAGCCCUCUGUACAGCCUGGCACACCCGGCACCAAGGCUCGUCCCAGAAGGAGGUGAUGUGGACAGCGUAGCUCCGGCGCCAGUGGAAGUAGCGGCGAUAGACUGCGGGGUUGCGGUCGAGGAAAAGCAGGUACGAGGCCAGGGAGGAGGCACUUGGGAAGUCGUCCACGUGGAUGAAGGCGCCGCGGGGCACGAAGCGCUCGUAGUUGGCACGGUCUGGGCCCAGCACCACCGGCACCGCCCCAGCGAGCAACGCGUUACGCCAAAGCUUCUCGGUGAUAUAAUCCAGGUGCUGCGAGUUCUCGAAAGCCAGGUAGAACUUGUAGCGGGCCACUGUGUGCAGGAGC